AUGAACGCUGGCGGCGUGCCUAAUACAUGCAAGUCGAGCGAACGGACGAGAAGCUUGCUUCUCUGAUGUUAGCGGCGGACGGGUGAGUAACACGUGGAUAACCUACCUAUAAGACUGGGAUAACUUCGGGAAACCGGAGCUAAUACCGGAUGAUAUUUUGAACCGCAUGGUUCAAAAGUGAAAGACGGUCUUGCUGUCACUUAUAGAUGGAUCCGCGCUGCAUUAGCUAGUUGGUAAGGUAACGGCUUACCAAGGCAACGAUGCAUAGCCGACCUGAGAGGGUGAUCGGCCACACUGGAACUGAGACACGGUCCAGACUCCUACGGGAGGCAGCAGUAGGGAAUCUUCCGCAAUGGGCGAAAGCCCGACGGAGCAACGCCGCGUGAGUGAUGAAGGUCUUCGGAUCGUAAAACUCUGUUAUUAGGGAAGAACAUAUGUGUAAGUAACUGUGCACAUCUUGACGGUACCUAAUCAGAAAGCCACGGCUAACUACGUG
rnacentral:rRNA from 1 species